GACGAACGCUGGCGGCGUGCUUAACACAUGCAAGUCGAACGGAAAGGCCCUGCUUUUGCGGGGUGCUCGAGUGGCGAACGGGUGAGUAACACGUGAGUAACCUGCCUUGGACUUUGGGAUAACUUCAGGAAACUGGGGCUAAUACCGGCGAGGAGCUCCUGCUGCAUGGUGGGGGUUGGAAAGUUUCGGCGGUUGGGGAUGGACUGCCGGCUUAUCAGCUGGUUGGUGGGGUAGUGGCUUACCAAGCCUUUGGAGGGUAGCCGGCCUGGGAGGGGGACCGGCGACAUUGGGCCUGAGGGAGGGAGCAGACUGGAACGGGAGGCAGCGGUGGGGAGUCUUGCACAAUGAGGGGGAGCGUGAUGAAGAAGCGCCGCGAGCGGGAUGAAGGCCUUCGGGUUGUGAACGGCAUUCGGCUGUGACGAAGCGGGAGUGACGGUAAUGGGUAAAGAAGCACCGGCUAACUACGUG
rnacentral:rRNA from 1 species